UGCUAUCCCUCAAAGUUGCAUAUUUAUAAUACUACAUACCAAUGUUAAAAAGAACAAAUACAGCUAAACAUAUUGAUUUCUUUUAGAAAAAAAUUACGAGAGUAGGCAAAAAAGAAUUUUUUGUCAUCUGUGGGCCACUCGGGUAAAUCUGGUAAUUCACGAGUACUGUAUCCUAUAGAUACAGUAGAUUAAUAAACAACCUAUAAGUAAUUUGUAAAUGAUUUCAUUUAUAAUUGGAGUCUAGAGAAUGCACUACUUGAUUUCAGUUCAUUCAUUAAAAAAAGCCAAGUUUUAGAAAUGUUGCACUCAGCUAGCCUUGAUUCAUUAAUAAACUUAAACAUAUAUCUUCUUUUGUAAGCAACCAAGCUAAGUAUGUUAAAUCUCAGUUAAUUUGCAAUCCUAAGGGGCCUGCCUGGCUUUGAUAUUUUAGAAACAGAAACAAUACUGUUGGCCUGUCAAUAGAGAAGUGCAAAUAUGAGAAGGUGGUAUCCUAUUAACACUCAGCCUUCAUAUAACAUAAAAUAAAUUAUCAAAUAAAAC
rnacentral:lncRNA from 1 species